rnacentral:rRNA from 1 species
GGUGAAAGGCUUGCUGCCUGAAGAAGAGCUUGCGUCUGAUUAGCUAGUUGGUGGGGUAAGAGCCUACCAAGGCGACGAUCAGUAGCUGGUCUGAGAGGAUGAUCAGCCACACUGGGACUGAGACACGGCCCAGACUCCUACGGGAGGCAGCAGUGGGGAAUUUUCCGCAAUGGGCGAAAGCCUGACGGAGCAAUACCGCGUGAGGGAGGAAGGCUCUUGGGUUGUAAACCUCUUUUCUCAGGGAAGAACAAAAUGACGGUACCUGAGGAAUAAGCAUCGGCUAACUCCGUGCCAGCAGCCGCGGUAAUACGGAGGAUGCAAGCGUUAUCCGGAAUGAUUGGGCGUAAAGGGUCCGCAGGUGGCAUUGUAAGUCUGCUGUUAAAGAGUUUGGCUCAACCAAAUAAGAGCAGUGGAAACUACAAAGCUAGAGUGUGGUCGGGGCAGAGGGAAUUCCUGGUGUAGCGGUGAAAUGCGUAGAUAUCAGGAAGAACACCGGUGG